AAACUUUAAAAUUUGGGUUUAAAAAUAAAUACUUCUUUCUUUGAAAGAAUAAGCCCUGUUCAACUGUUUCAUUUUUCACUGUAAUAAGCCCUAACCGAAUCAAAUCAAACCAAGAAAUCAUUCUCUCUAUCCUUCAUUUCCAAAACUUCCGAUUAGAAAUCCGUGUUCAAUAAUCACCAGAAUCCCAUUAAAAUACUUUGUAAAACAAUUUAUUCCAUCAAUUUCUCUCUCAUUCCACUUUCUCUUUACAUCAGCUCAAUCAAAAUUCCAAAAUUGAGAUCGAAUUGCAAUUAAGCUGCUAUAGUGCAUGAUUACUCUAUUCUAUUUUAGAUGAAGAUGUUCCUAAAGAUUGUCGUGUUUGCUGUAUUGUCAGCUGGGGUUAGCUCUUCUAGGCCAGCCCUACCUAGUGUAGAGGCCGAGACCAAGGAGAAGACGAUGUUCGAUGUGAAAUUGGAGAAGUUUGAUGCAGGGAAGAAUUUAAAGGUGAUUAAAAGAGGUGAGAAGUUAACAUAAUUGGCUGAGAAAACACCUGCAUUUGUGAAGAAAGGGUUUACUAAAGAAGAAGGUGAAGCUAUUAUUUAUAAAUUUCAAAUAGAAUUAACUUUUCCCAGCUGAUUAGACUGAAUAAUUCAAGUAUUAUCUUUAACACCGUCUUUGUUUGCGGCUUCUUUGUCAGUCUUCCCACUUUGGUUGGAUGAUCUUCUUAGGGUACUGAGUGAAAAUUGAUAGCAUUUGAACAAAAUUAGUGCUAACAAAGAUUAUCUAUAAUAAUCUUUGUUUGUCGGCAUUUCAAUAAUAAGUAGUAAAAGGGAGGAAGAAAAGAAAGAUCAGAGCAGCUAUGUAUAUGUCUAUGAAGGAGAUUAACAAAUCGAACAAAACUGAUUGCUAGAAGUAGGAGAGAGAAGGGCAAGGAAAGAAAGGUAGACAUAUGACUGAAGGACUUCUUUCAUGGAUUCAAAUUCGAAAAUUCUCCAUGCGGCCUCACAUGCUAAGAUAUGCCUACAAUCAAGAUAUUAACCAAGAGGGAAACUACCGAGCUGCAUGAAUUUGAUGGGAAGUCUUUAGGUCACAGUUAUUAUAAAUUUACUUGAGUGAUCGGGCAUGUUUUUAGGUUAGGUUCUCUAUUUCUAUCUUCUGAGUUAUGGCUUUUGUUCCCUAUUUUGGAUUUAUUUUUUUAUUUUUUUUAGGUUCUUUUAAUUUUUACCUGCCACAUCAGUCCCAAAGUAAUGGUCUUCUUUUAGACACUUCAUGAGCUGUUUUAGUUUGAGCUUGAAUACUCUUUCCAUGAUAUACUGUCGAUCUUCUGACUUUUGUCCUUCAAUGUGACUCAACAUUGCUUGUACUUCUGGCCACUUUGUGUUAGCAGUAAAUGUGAUGAAUAGAUGUGGGCUUCUAUAUUGUCUACAUAUUGCCAUGGCAUCUUGGUAGUUUUGGUACAUGUAUCUUGGUCCUCCCGUGAAUGAUGCUGGUAGGACAAUUCUUUUUCCCACUGUUGCCCCAUUCAUGUCUCCUUGUACCACAACAUCUCGUAUGUUGCUGUAAGUUUUGCACCUAAAUUGAUGUUGGUUGUUUCGGAUAAAUGACAACCUUUCUUCUUCAAUCGCGCAAUAGCAGUCUACAAUAAAUUGUAAAAGUAAUUGACCUGCAGCAAAAUAUAAGGAAUUAUGUUUAGAAAAUAUGAAUUUAUUGUCAUAUAAGUAAACAAAUUCUCGUAUUUUUUUUGGAGGUUUAUAUAUGUGUUAGAUUAGUAAAAACGUGCAUAUUAAUUUGAAUAAGAUAAGUAGUUAACCUCAUGAUCACACAUUCCCUCUUGCCUUUUCCUAAUCCUUUUUUCUUAGCAUAUACUAUCCCAAGAUGGUAACUAUCUUCUCCGUAUGGGAAUAGCAGAGGAUAUUGUAAAGCCAUGAAGCUUGGGUGUAAUUCACUUAUUCUUUGUAAUCCUUCUGAUUUGUGCUCAAUUAUUAUAUCCCUUCCAUAUGUGUUAUUUCCAAUAUCUCCUACUAUAAGUGCAGCUAUCUCAGAUGACGUUGGCAUGUUGUACGCUUUGUUUUUGUUGUCCCUUGUACCAAGUAGCCUUAUGGUCCACUUUUCUCCCACAUUUUGUCUUAUUCUUGUUGUGCCAUUCUAAAGGUUUGUGCCAGGGGAUUUACUUUUUCAAGCAUUGCUUUCAAUUUGGAGAGUAAUUCAAAAUUCAAUGUUGGGCUGUUUUCAUUCUUUUGAACAACUUCUGUUCUUAAAUGCACCAUCAUAUAUAUAUAGCUGUGCAAAUGAUGGUUGUUUAUCAUCUACUGGCAGAAGAGACCCUAUUCGAUGAUGAUUCUGCCCACUUACUCUAAAAACAUAAGGGCCUACUGUUGUGUUUACUGAAUUAUCAAUCUUAGCGCCCAUUGACAUAAAUGCAAAACAUGAAUUGUAUAUACAAACAAGUUGUCUGAAGACUGAUGUGCAUUUGUCUCCCAUGUAAUUCAACAAUUCUUCCAGCAACUUGGGUGUUUCUUUGAAUUUGGGUAAUUUUACUUCCCCUCUUGACAACAUAGGUUAAAGAUUGUCCUGUUCUUUGUGCUUCUCUUCUUAACUCUCUCUUCGUACCACAUUAAUGCACCACACUCUGGACAUUCAUAUUCAGGUAGGCCUAAGCUUAUAUACUUGUAGCUUUCUUUAUUUGUUCUUGUACAUUAAAUUAAUUCAUGCUUAGAUAAGGAUAGUGAUUUAAAGAAAGUGCAAGGUAAGUUGGUAAGUUUUAUGAUACCUGCUGAUGUUGUUUCGAAUUGCAUUUGUCCAUUCUCUUUGUUAUUUAUUAAUCGCCUUCUUUUGUCUUUAUGCCAAUCUACACAUAGAAUUCAAAGAUGAGCAAAGUGUUAGCAAUUUAUAAAAAUAUUGUAAAUUUAUAUAUUGCAGGUUUUGGGUGAUCUAAUGUUGCCUUUCUA